AUCACUUUUCAUUCUUUUGGCUAAGAUCAAGUGUAGUAUAUGUUCUUAUCUGUUUAACAUCUGAUAUGUCCUCUAUCCGAGGACAAUGUAUUAGGUGGAUUUUUGGAGCAGGGAGGUGGAAUAGGAGCUUGCUCCACCCACUUCUCACAUCAACCUGGUAUUGCAGUACCUUGAGAAACAGCACACCACCC